AAUGAAGUGCCUGAGGAAAAGGAUUAUCUUGAUAGGGUAAACAAUGUAGUUUACUACCUUCAUUA
rnacentral:tRNA from 7 species